rnacentral:rRNA from 1 species
UUUUCGGAUGGAUUUAAAACAGCUUAGUGGCGGACGGGUGAGUAACGCGUGGGUAACCUGCCUCACACUGGGGGACAACAGUUAGAAAUGACUGCUAAUACCGCAUAAGCGCACAGGACCGCAUGGUCUAGUGUGAAAAACUGAGGUGGUAUGAGAUGGACCCGCGUCUGAUUAGCUAGUUGGUGAGAUAACAGCCCACCAAGGCGACGAUCAGUAGCCGACCUGAGAGGGUGACCGGCCACAUUGGGACUGAGACACGGCCCAAACUCC